CAGUAGCCACGGGAAUACCGAGGGUGCAAGCGUUAAUCGGAAUUACUGGGCGUAAAGCGCGCGUAGGUGGUUUGUUAAGUUGGAUGUGAAAUCCCCGGGCUCAACCUGGGAACUGCAUCCAAAACUGGCAAGCUAGAGUAUGGUAGAGGGUGGUGGAAUUUCCUGUGUAGCGGUGAAAUGCGUAGAUAUAGGAAGGAACACCAGUGGCGAAGGCGACCACCUGGACUGAUACUGACACUGAGGUGCGAAAGCGUGGGGAGCAAACAGGAUUAGAUACCCGGGUAGUCCCUGUCUCUUAUAC
rnacentral:rRNA from 1 species